rnacentral:rRNA from 1 species
GGCAGCAGUGGGGAAUAUUGGACAAUGGGCGAAAGCCUGAUCCAGCCAUGCCGCGUGUGUGAAGAAGGUCUUCGGAUUGUAAAGCACUUUAAGUUGGGAGGAAGGGCAUUAAUCUAAUACGUUAGUGUUUUGACGUUACCGACAGAAUAAGCACCGGCUAACUCUGUGCCAGCAGCCGCG